UACGGGGGGGGCGAGCGUUGUUCGGAAUCACUGGGCGUAAAGGGCGCGUAGGCGGCCCGCACAAGUCUGCGGUGAAAACCCCCGGCUUACCCGGGGGCCGGCCGUGGAAACUGUCGGGCUGGAGGCUGGGAGAGGGCAGCGGAAUUCCCGGUGUAGCGGUGAAAUGCGUAGAGAUCGGGAGGAACACCGGCGGCGAAGGCGGCUGCCUGGACCAGUCCUGACGCUGCGGCGCGAAAGCUAGGGGAGCAAACAGG
rnacentral:rRNA from 1 species